UACGUAGGGUGCAAGCGUUGUCCGGAAUUAUUGGGCGUAAAGAGCUCGUAGGCGGUCUGUCGCGUCUGCUGUGAAAACUCGGGGCUUAACCCCGGGCCUGCAGUGGGUACGGGCAGACUAGAGUGCGGUAGGGGAGACUGGAAUUCCUGGUGUAGCGGUGAAAUGCGCAGAUAUCAGGAGGAACACCGGUGGCGAAGGCGGGUCUCUGGGCCGAUACUGACGCUGGGGAGCGAAAGCGUGGGGAGCAAACAGG
rnacentral:rRNA from 1 species